rnacentral:tRNA from 1 species
AAUGUGGCUCAGAGGUAGAGUGCCUGCCUAGCAUGCAUGAAGCCCUGGGUUCGAUUUCUCAGUAUU